rfam:Gossypium arboreum cultivar AKA8401 contig_5_39, whole genome shotgun sequence.
AAUUCGUGGUGUGGGCACUUUCGGAUUAGCAUUUUCAAACGCUCCCAUGCUUCGUGAAAGCUUUCCCCUUUUGAUUGUUUGAACAUCAACAUUUCCCUUCUUUGUU